UGUCAAGCAUAGCGCUGCCAUUUUUCUGGUGAUUGAAUUAUCAUGUCAUUGUUUUCCAUCCAAUCAGAUAUCUCUGGCCCACUGGCCAACGAAUCUGAAUCUGAAUUGCCAUAUACUUUAGUUUUACAUGUUUUUAUCCUGUUCCUAUUUGCAUCUCUGUAAUUCAAGUUUGAGUAGUUACAGUGACUGGAUCAAGUCUCGAUGACUUAAUUUCAAGAAAGGUUUACAAGACAAAAAUUGCCAACUUCUUUAUGUCAUGAACAUCUACACAUCACUUUGCCCUCAAUACAUUAUACAUUCAUGGUGGAAAAGUGUAAUUUUGAUAAAAUGUUCAAGCCUAUAAAAAAUCAACUUCUUAUCAAGUCAUUUGUGUCUGUAAGUUUAGUCCUUGAAGAAUAUUUUGAUCUUUCUUGAAUGCCAGUCAGCCUUUUCUACGUAUUGUUUAAAGUUUCAUUUUUUUUGCGAUCCUAGUGCAGCAAUGUACCUUAGUUUUGCCUUUGUCAAGGUGCAGUCAAAACAUUUUUGAAGAAUUUAUCUCAAAUGACUUGAAAAUAAAUAACUUGUUUUUUUGCAAUGCAACAGCCCUGUUCAGUGCACUGAAUCUAGUUGCCUUUAUUCAGUGACCAAUCUGGUCCUUUUCAUUCUACAGCAUGGCAGCAGUAACAGUGGGAAGAAUCCAGUAAGUGGUGCCAAUGUUAUGGUCGGAGAUUACGGGACCGGCAGCUGUUCCGUGGGCAUCUUCACCACAGGGCGGUUGUUUGCAGAGACCAGUUUAGGUCUGUUUGUCUCUCAGUCAUCCCUCUGGGCCCCCGAUAGAAUAACUUCAGCCCCGUCCUAUUACUAUGCAACCCCACAAAACCUGGUCAGAGGUGCUCGAUCCUGCCUCCCUUAAAAAUACCACUGAGAAGAAAAAAACAUAGGACAUGAAAGUCUUUGAUAUCCCACUUUGAAAUUAUGGGUGGACCCUUAGUGCUUCAUUUCAGUUUUAGAAGUAAAUGAGUAGAAUCUAGUUUAACUUUGGCUAUUUGUUCUCAACUCACAGACUUACUAACUGUAACUGAGAGCUGACUGUUAAGAGAACGAAUCUAUACAGGAUUAUUUUAAGCUUAAAUUCACCAGCAAAUUUCCAUUGCUGGACUGUAAAACUCACAAUUUUACUCAGCUCUGUCCAGCGGAGCAUUUAAGGGUACACAUUUGUUUCACCAAGUCUACAGACAGGACUGUAUUUGUACAUCUUAAUUCACACAUGUGCACAUUUCUCUAAAUUACAAAACAUGCACAGGCCUCUGAAUCCUCCCUCUGUUUUUUAUUUUUAUAGAUAUAAAUACACACCCAGUUAGUCUGCAAUAAACCAGCUUUUAUUGGGAUAUAAAACUUUUUUCCAUCAACACCAAGCAACUGCUGCUGCUGCUGCACACAGGGGCAUUUAGGAGGUUUAUACUAAAAUACCUCCACUCUGGCUCCAGAGGAAUCUGUUCAUCACAAAUUCAACAGAAUCACAAUCUUCACAUUGUUUCCCUGACUUGCUCUUCUGUGCUUCACCUCUCCUGGAACACUUUCCCUGCACAGAUUACGUAUUUAACCUCUGAGAAGUGUGUCUUGAAGGAAAAGAGUGGAAAGGAGAAGCUUGGCAAAGAAUCGAGGCAUAUCAAACAAACAGUGGCAAGGCUGUAGGCAAAACAAGGUACGGCAAUUCAAGUGUUGGAUUAAGAUGUGCUAUAAAUAGAUUCAACAUAGAAACAUGCCAAAGACAACUUGAAAUAGAAUAAUAUAAUAUUCCCUAAGUAAUAAAUCUACUGUAAGUCGUUUUUAACUGACAAGUCAAGGGUUGUUUUGUUUGGGGUUAGACGGGGAAACAGUUUUCAGUAUACACUGAAAAUUGGCUGACAUUGGUUGUUUAAAAAAGUGCUAGACCAACCAAUUCAACAACAUUUUCAAAUCCAAAAUCUUAAAGGGGAAAUCCAUCCAUUACUCAUCCUCAUUGUGAUCACUCAUCAUGAGCGGUACUAUGCCAAAAGUAAGAGAAAGACUUCUGUGACUUCUGGAAAAGCUUUGUCAAGAAGAAGAAAAUGUACCCUGAUGAUGUAGAUGAGGAAUCCUGCUUUACAAACAGAGGCAGUGGCGUUUAAUCUGCAUGCUUUUGUCCAUUUUAUCCUUUUCUUUCAAGCUGGUGUAAAGCUCUCAAUCAACCAGACCAAACAACCAUGACCAAGACCUUCUGAAAAGGUGUACAUUGGAUUAUACAGGAAAACCCCCACCCACAGACCAAUACUUACUCUUCAAUUCCCACCAGCCCCUGGAUCAUAAGUAAGGGGUAACAAAAACCCUGCACCAACGAGCUGAUAACGUACCAACGUACAGAUUGUUGAUAUCCAAACUGGACCUUUGUGAAAACAGCCACAAGAUCCAAGAAGAACACCAAGGAAAAGAAGAGGAAACGCAACAUUGUGUUUCUGUAUGUUUCUGGAUUGUCAGAGAAACUAUGGAGGAUUUUCAACAAAUUAUUGUAUUAAUGUUAAAUUAAUGUAUUGUAUUAUGUACAUAUUUUAGACAGGGAGGGCAGAUUGUUUGAAAUAGGGGUGAAAGAGAACUUUUAUUCCUUCCCAGGAAACUGAACAAACAUUCACAUUUGGCCUCAUAUAAGAAUGACAACGACGGACGUUCAGAUUUGGCCUCAGGUGUCUGCAACGACCACAACAGCCAGGAGCAAUAACACACCAAGCAGUAUCGAUCACGUUGACAAUGCACCCACAGAGGCUAAAUUUGGGAUUGAGAGGCAAAAGUCUUCGAGUGUCUUCAACCAAGUCCAGUUGCCCUUGAUUUUAACCUUGCUUGGAUAACUAUGACCUGGAUGACUAAGAAUCUUCACAGAACUAAGAGGAGUAAACCUGAAGUCAUAUAGACUGACAGAUUAAACUACUAUUGAGCUACUACGUCAUCCUACAUCAUCAGCAUCUCAUAGAACUAUUCAAAAAUGGGCUACUGUCAGUCUGUACAACUUUAUGUUUAGUCUCUUCUGUUUGUUUGUAAAAAGGCAACAUGAACAAGAGACAGACCAGAACUAAAAGGAAUUUAUAUAUGUCUAUAUAUCUAUAUAUAUUAUGUAUACAAUUUCCUUCAUUCAGACCAAAUUAAUUGAAACACAAAUAUGAAGCACCCUAAAUCACUGGAGUACCAUGACGAGGAUUUCUAAAACAAAUGCUGUACAGUAUGUGACAAGUUAAGACUUUUUUCACAUGGUGGAUAAAUGCCCUAAGCAGUUACUUAAUGUAAUGUAAUAACCAGUAGUCAGUGAUCACUGCAGAGAUGGUCUAAAACACACUUGCUAAUAUAUUCAGCAAAGUGGGUGUUUUUCUAUUUUACAUUACAGAUAUUUCCAGACAUUUAGCUGUUGCUCUUUUCAGAGUAAUUUGCAUUGACUGCUAAAGGAAAAUAAACCUCCAUUCUAACAGUGGAAGCUGCCAUUACUAAAGGGGUUACAGGUCACAAAAGCAACCCUCCAAUCUUAUAGGAUAACAGCUAACAAAAACAUACGUAAAACGAGUGUUUGCAGCAGUCUGAAGAGCGAUUUGUGGAGGACAGGUACUACAGUGUUAAUGCUGAAUUGUUCAUUUGGCACCAUUACUUAGGAUCUGCAAUAUCAUGUUGUGCAAUUUUAAAGGAUUAUCUAAGACUGGUACAUGAAAAUUAGAUAUUCCAAAGCUCCCCCCCUCGCCUCCUUUAUCCUCACUUAUCCUUCCUCCUCAACACACACUCCCUACAUCUACUUUCCUACUCUUUUCCUCCCCCCUCCCAUCUUCCUCAACCAUCCUUUGCUGCACGCUCACCCCAUCAGUUGCUGCUGUUGCUGUGGCAGCUUUCUUUUUUAUUUAAUUUUUUUUUUUGGGGGGGGGGGUUGCAUUGCCAGACAGACAUAAUAAAAAUAAAACUGGAGGGGUGGAAAGGAAAAUCUUUUAAUAGAGACUUAUUACAGGGACAUAUUCGCAUCUAAUGUUGCAAAUAUUGCUUUUGGAAUAACGCCGUUAUAAUCCAGGAACAAAACAUCAGCCAAAGACACAAAGUUUAACAGGUUGGAAACAAGAGGAGGCAUUUUUACUGCUAAAGCUCAUCCACAGCUUGAAUACGUCUGCUGUGUGAAAUAAGGGCUACAAACAGUGGAUUUAUGCAACCCUAAGUACCAAACGCUAAAAUAAAAUACCUUCUAAGUAUA